rnacentral:misc_RNA from 1 species
UAUGUGGUGUGGUUGUCAUGGUCAUGGCUGCAAUUGCAUGCCAUAACCCUUUAUAUUUCAGCCAUUUGUCAACAAGACACAACCAGGACCCCGCAACUGUAUUCCUUCAAACUCCUUCCAGAUACAACAAAUACCUCCGUCUUGUAAUAGCAUCAUGGAUUGUAGAAAACUCUGUGAACACUUCCUACAUCAUUCCCCUUCAAGAUGAAUCCACAUUAAAUGCCGCUAGUGGUAAAGAGAAAGAGACAUAUUGGAAGUCAAAUGCAUGUACAGGAUCUGAAAACAUUGUACAAAAAAUGCACGUAGAUAACAAUGACAAACACAACUGCUCUUCAGUUCAGAAAAGUGCGAAGCAAAAAACAGAACCGAAACUCCAACCUAAAACGGAAGAAAUUUGUGAAGACUGUAAUGCAUCCCCAGAUGACAAGGACCACGACUACAACUCCUCGUCUUCACUUCGAAGUUGCAAGGCUGAACAAGAAUCGGAAUUUCAACCCAAAUCAACUAAAGGAGAAAAGAAAUUUCAGUGCGGCUAUUGUCACUCAAGUUUCACCACCAACUUUUCGUUCCGACGACAUAUGCAAUCUCGACAUCCAACUGCGACAGCUGACCUUAAUGGCAAAACCGAAUGUAACAGCUGUGGAUUUAAAUGUCACAGGAUUUGUGACCUGAGAACGCAUCUUUCACAACAACACAACGUUAUUUUCAUAAAUGAAUCUAUUACACUAGAUAACGUCAACGAAUUUGAAGAUUGGAAACAGUCAUUGGAAGAAAAGGGGUGUUGCUCGUUUGUCAAGGCAACUGGUAGCAAAAAUAGUGGAAGUGUACAAUAUUACCAAUGCAAUCGUGGUGGGCACUAUAAAUCGAAAACAACAGAGAAACGACGAACAAAAUCUCAAGGAACCUGCAAAUUACAAAAUAACUGCACGUCAACCAUCAAAGCUGUCGUGACAGAAGAAGGGAAAGUAUCCGCUGAAGUUUGCCACACGCAUUACGGACAUGAUAAACAGCUGCAACACACGUGGUUACCAACAGCAAAAAGGCAACAAAUAGCAGCUCUUCUAAAAGAAGGGGUAUCGAGAGACAAGAUACUGGAGGAUAUACGAGAAAGUGCAAUGAAUGGAACAAACGAAUUCACAAGAUAUCAUUUAACAGACAAGAAGGACGUAAGCAAUAUUGUUAAGUCAUUUGGAUUAAGUCAAGUCCAAAAACAUACAAAUGAUCAGGAAAGUGUCAGGGCAUGGCUGGGAGAAUGGGCAGCAAGCGAGAACAACCCUGUUCUUUUUUGCAAAUUUCAAGGCGAAGAUUCACCUGAAGAUGUUGACUUACUCAAAGAAGAUUUUAUGAUAGUAUUACAAACACCUUUUCAAAAAUUGAUGGCAACAAAGUUCGCUGUAAAAGGAGUAUGCAUUGACGCAACGCAUGGAACCACGGGGUAUGAUUUCCCUCUAACAACAGUCAUGGUAAUGGAUGAGCAAGGUGAAGGGUUUCCAAUAGCUUGGUGUUUGUCCAAUCACGAAGACGUUACGCAUAUGUGCAUUUUCUUCGGUUUGUUGAAGCAGAAUUGUGGUAUCUUGACGCCUCGCUGGGUUAUGUCUGAUUUGGCAAACCAAUUUUAUAAUGCAUGGGUUGCCAUAAUGGGAGGUAAUCCUCUAAAACUUGUCUGUACUUGGCAUGUUGACAAGGCAUGGCAAGAGGAAUUGAGAGCCAAAGUUCACGAUACCGUCACUGCUGCUGAAAUUUAUAAGAUGCUAAGGACCGUACUUCAGGAAACGGAUAAACUUAAUUUUCAGGACUAUUUACAUCAACUGCUUGAGCAACUACCAUCGCUUAGUCCCGAAUUCUACGAGUACUUUAAAAGGGAGUGGUUCGACAGAACAGAGAUAUGGGCAUACUGCUUUCGACUCGGUAUGGGCAUAAAUACAAACAUGCUGGUAGAGGCAUUCCACCGCGUAUUUAAAUACAACUACCUUAAGGGUAAAGUAAACAAAAGAGUUGACAAAUGUUUAGUAAACCUUCUCAAGUAUGUCAGAGACAAAUACUUUGAAAGGGUAAUCAAACUAACCAAGGGGAAGAGUUGCCACAAGCAACGUCUAAUCCAGGAUCGCCACAACAAAAGCAGGGCCAUGACAACCGAAGCUGUUGAGGUACUUGAUGACUUACGAUGGAAAGUUCGUGGACAGAACGGAGAAAACAUUUAUAUUGUUUCAAAACAAGCAACCAAUUGUGCAGGCACCACUUGUCAGAUUAAAUGCCCAGAAUGCAAUAUUUGUAUACACCAAUAUGUAUGCAACUGUCCUGACAGCCUAAUCCAAAGUACGAUUUGUAAGCACGCACAUCUUCUUCAGCGUUUUUUACUACUAAAGCAGACUACGGAGAAUGGCGACGAUUGUGGACUAAUUCCAGACAUCAGACGCAACGAUGAGAGCAAGUAUAAAGAUACGGAAGUCAAAUUAGUAGCAGAACAUCUUAAACAGGACGCUGGCCCACCGAAAGACAUCCAAGCACUCAGGCUGAGAUUAAGGCAAAAACUGAUUGUUUUAGCUGAUAGUGUGUUGACUUGUGACAACAAAUCUUCAUUGCAAGAACUUGAAAAGCAACUAAAUUCAGCAUCCCACCUUUUCAGUUCAAUGAAUAAGCACAAGCCUCUAAAAUAUCUUGAAGUUACCCGCCAAUUUCCAGGAAACAAAAAUAUUGAAACUCAGCUUCGUUUCCAUUCAACAAAGAAGAAGAGAAAGCUUCCAAAAAAUAUCCGUUUCAGUAAACCAACUAGGGCAGUAAUCGAUAAAUUAUUUUCGAACAAGGAAGGUAAAUGAAUUAAUUACAGUACUAGUAUUAGUAAUAGAAUGCGAUGUGACAUGUGUUAUUUCACACGAACUGGGAAUAGUUAAGAAUACGGGAAAGGGAGGCUUUGAGGCCAAAGGUGUGUUGUGAUGCACACUGCAUUUAAAUGCCAGAAAAUUAGGAAACUUAUUUAAAUUAUCUAAUAACUGGGUAAAAGAAUCUAUAUAAUUGCCAAGUCUUUUUUGUAGUGUAUUUGUAUGUGCAAUCAUUAUAUAAGUGGAAAUAUUUCUGUUUUCAGACAUUGACUCCAUGUUAAGGUGGUUUGGUGUGCCAGAGGCCACAAUUAUAAAAGUGAACAGUCCAGGCAACAAAGUGUAUAUGCUUCAAGUAAAAGACAUUAAUCUUGAUGGUGAACAUCCACCUGAAGAAGCACUUGGCAGUGAUAUCACACUAAUGAAGAAGCAUUGUACAAAUACUGCAUGGAAAAAGAUUAUUGACUCAUUCACUGCUCUUAAAGAAGAAUGGAAAUGUAACACUUGCAAUACCUCUAAUUAUCAGAACAUGAUAAUGUGUGAUGAUUGUGAAAGCUGGCACCACUGGUAGGAUGAAUUUUCUUUCUUUAGAGAGUUGCACUGUAUAACAUAAUCAACAUAUUUUAUAAGUUCCCAUUCAAAAUUAUGACAAAACAUGUUCAAGUACCCAUUCAUGAAACAUUUAUAUAUUUGACAAUGAAGGACCUGUGUGAAGGUGGAAGAGGAAACAGAUGAGUGGUACUGUCAAUUGUGUGAACACUUACAUACCUAAUCCUCAGCCUCAGGUACUGUAAAGUGCAUUAUUGUAAACACUAGCCUAUACAGGUUUUUACCAUUGUAUGAAAUUUUAUAAUAGCCUAAUAUGUUUCUGCAUCUUAUAGGUGUUUGUGCUUACAGUAUGUUUAACACAAAAGAAAAGACUAAAAAGUAGACAUUCCUGAAUAGUGACAGAUCUCACAGAUUUCUCAGGAAAGUAGUUUCACUGGGUUAAGGCCCUGUUACAC